UGGUGUUGAAGGUAUUAUGCUACAUGCCUCUGGAUCGUUACACCACCUCAACAAUUUGGUCUUAUUGUUGAAACUGGGAGUACUAUUACCUAAGUCCCCUGUGCUACUUGUGAGCAGUGCGGCAGGCAUCAGGAUCCCAAAUUCGAGCCUGAGUUAUGAAGCACGUAUCAACCUGUAAAAUGCAAUCUGGACUGCAAUUGUUACCAUGACAGGGUACGACGUCUUUACAAGUGACAGUAUGCUGAGAGGAGUUCAAGCAGUGGUGUUCAUUCUCAUUAUGGAAUGGUGGGAUGGAUAUUGGCUGGGAUGCAAACAUGGUCUUUGCUCAUUCAGAGCCUCUGUGCGGACUACUUUAUGUGAUUCACAAAUUGCUGCACCAUUGAAACCUGAAGAUUGUCUUCCUAGAGAAAAUCUGAUGGAAGUACAAAGUCCAUGAGCUCAUUAGAUUAG